rnacentral:rRNA from 1 species
AUGGGGCACUUCCUCGCUAGCCUUGAACAAGAUUUCAUCUGUUUUGUCAGACCAAAAGCUGUAGAAAGAACUCCGGUAAUCUGUCAAAGCUUACUUGGCCUGAAACUAUUUAUUUUGUCUUUAUCUUCGCAGGAUGAAGGAUUUAGCUUCUUCUUUGCCUUUUUAUUUUUUCCCAUGUAUCAUGUUACUCGUCAAAGCGAAGCAAUCAAAAAACUCCAGCAACAUACACUGAAAUUGUCACUUUUAAAAAGGAACGGGCAGAACCUAUGGCGUGGCUUGGUGGGUGCGGACGUCAAAUUGACCAUUAAUUAUCACCCAGCACCUCGAUCCAGAUUUCUUUCAUGGAAAAUUGAAAGCCUGUCAUGUGUACCUCUAAUGCAGAAAUAG